GACAGAGGGGGCAAGCGUUGCUCGGAAUUACUGGGCGUAAAGGGCGCGUAGGCGGGAUGGCAAGUCGGUCGUGAAAUCCCUCGGCUUAACCGAGGAACUGCGCCCUAAACUACUGUGCUCGAGGGAGAUAGAGGUGAGCGGAACUUAGGGUGGAGCGGUGAAAUGCGUUGAUAUCCUAAGGAACACCGGUGGCGAAAGCGGCUCACUGGAUCUCUUCUGACGCUGAGGCACGAAAGCUAGGGUAGCGAACGGG
rnacentral:rRNA from 1 species